rnacentral:misc_RNA from 1 species
AUAUUCUGUUAUUAUGCGCAAAAAAAAUCAUACAACUUUCCUAUUAAAAGUAUCUCGUAUGGUUUUCAAGAUAACCAAAGCGAGUCAAAACUCUAAGGGGUCAUUUGACUCCUUAAACCCGCGUCUUAGCCGAAAUAAAAGAAAUACGUGUCCCUUAUUUUUGCCUGCUUAGCAAACGUACGAACUUUACGUACAUACAGAGGGGGAUACUUCCGUGCCUUUUCUUGUUAGCUUUGGCCACAGUAUAAUAUACUGUGCUUUGACUAUAUGUAGUCUGUAUAGCUCAAUUACCCAAUAUAUAUAAUUUAACAUGUGGAGAAUUUGUGUAGUUUGUAUAAUUUUGUUGAUCUUGCACGUAAUUAGAAAAAUUUGUUUAAAAUUAUGUAAAAGACAUAAAAACGUUUGCGUUCUUGUUCUUGGAGAUUUAGGUAGAAGUCCUAGAAUGCAAUAUCAUGUAACAUCACUUGUAAAGGAAGGUUUUGCGGUAGACUUUAUAGGUUAUCCUGGUUCACUGCCGUUAAAAGAAAUUAGAGAAAAUCCUCUAAUACGUAUUUAUUAUCUUUCUCCACCUCUAAAUAUAGAGAACAAAUUGUCACUUUUUGUAUGUUAUGUGGUAAAAACUUUGUGGCAAACCUUUAAUUUAAUAUGGACUUUAUUGCACAUACGCAUACCAACUCACAUGUUGAUACAAAAUCCGCCUGCAAUACCUACAAUUCCAAUUUGUUGGUUGUAUUGUUUCAUUAUAAAUUCACAACUUAUUAUUGAUUGGCAUAAUUAUGCAUUUACUCUUAUGGGACUUAGCCUAAGAAAUGAUCAUUUGUUUGUAAAAUUUGCAAGAAUUAUUGAAACAUACUUUGGUUUUAAAGCACAUAGUCAUAUUUGUGUUUCUGAAGCAAUGAGGAAUGACUUGCAAUUAAAGUGGAAAAUCAAAGCUGAAGUAUUAUAUGAUCGCCCAACAGACAAAUUUCAUCCUAUAUCAUUAGAGGAGAAACACAUGUUCUUAUUAAAAUUGAGUGAAAAGCAUAAUAUAUUAAAAGGUAAAAAGGAAAAUACAACUAUAUUUACAGAAUUUGUAGACAAUGAGAUACGGUUAUCUUCUAAAAGACCUGGUCUUAUCGUAUCAAGCACAAGUUGGACAGAAGAUGAAGAUUUUUCAAUAUUGUUAAAUGCAUUACAAGAAUAUGAAAAUAUGAUUGUACAAUGUACUUGUAAUUUACCUGAUUUAAUUUGUAUAAUAACUGGUAAAGGUCCGUUAAAAGAAUUUUAUAAAGCUAUAGUAAAAUUAAAAAAUUGGAAACAUGUUACAAUUCUUACACCGUGGCUAGAAAACGAAGAUUAUCCUAAGAUACUAGCUAGUGCUGAUUUAGGUAUUUGUCUUCACAUAUCAUCCAGUGGUUUGGAUUUACCAAUGAAAGUUGUUGAUAUGUUUGGAUGUGAACUUCCAGUGUUCUCAUAUAAUUUUAAAUGAAAUAUUCACAUCGCUAUAACUCUAUUGAGAAGUAACGCAAUGAAAAUCUGAAAGAUGCUUACAGAAAAUAGAGCUUUCGUGCUUUCAAAGGAUUAUUCAGAGACAGUGAUGUUGCUAUUUUUGCUGAAUUUAGGACCAUUUGUACUUAGAUACAUUUUUCAUGCUCAUAGAGCUUAUCAGAACUUGUUAAACAUGGGCAGAACGGAAUGACUUUUUCAAGUGAUAAAGAAUUAACAGCACAAUUAAAAAUGUGGUUUGA